rnacentral:piRNA from 1 species
UAGAAUGGAGAAUUCUCAGUGAGGUGGUU